GACGAACGCCUUCGGCGUGCUUAACACAUGCAAGUCGAGCGGAAAGGCCCUGCUUUUGUGGGGUGCUCGAGUGGCGAACGGGUGAGUAACACGUGAGUAACCUGCCCUUGACUUUGGGAUAACUUCAGGAAACUGGGGCUAAUACCGGAUAGGAGCUCCUGCUGCAUGGUGGGGGUUGGAAAGUUUCGGCGGUUGGGGAUGGACUCGCGGCUUAUCAGCUUGUUGGUGGGGUAGUGGCUUACCAAGGCUUUGACGGGUAGCCGGCCUGAGAGGUGACCAGCCACAUUGGGACUGAGAUACGGCCCAGACUCCUACGGGAGGCAGCAGUGGGGAAUAUUGCACAAUGGGCGGAAGCCUGAUGCAGCAACGCCGCGUGCGGGAUGACGGCCUUCGGGUUGUAAACCGCUUUCGCCUGUGACGAAGCGUGAGUGACGGUAAUGGGUAAAGAAGCACCGGCUAACUACGUGCCAGCAGCCGCGGUGAUACGUAGGGUGCGAGCGUUGUCCGGAUUUAUUGGGCGUAAAGGGCUCGUAGGUGGUUGAUCGCGUCGGAAGUGUAAUCUUGGGGCUUAACCCUGAGCGUGCUUUCGAUACGGGUUGACUUGAGGAAGGUAGGGGAGAAUGGAAUUCCUGGUGGAGCGGUGGAAUGCGCAGAUAUCAGGAGGAACACCAGUGGCGAAGGCGGUUCUCUGGGCCUUUCCUGACGCUGAGGAGCGAAAGCGUGGGGAGCGAACAGGCUUAGAUACCCUGGUAGUCCACGCUGUAAACGGUGGGUACUAGGUGUGGGGUCCAUUCCACGGGUUCCGUGCCGUAGCUAACGCUUUAAGUACCCCGCCUGGGGAGUACGGCCGCAAGGCUAAAACUCAAAGGAAUUGACGGGGCCCCGCACAAGCGGCGGAGCAUGCGGAUUAAUUCGAUGCAACGCGUAGAACCUUACCUGGGUUUGACAUGGAUCGGGAGUGCUCAGAGAUGGGUGUGCCUCUUUUGGGGUCGGUUCACAGGUGGUGUAUGCCUGUCGUCAGCUCGUGUCGUGAGAUGUUGGGUUAAGUCCCGCAACGAGCGCAACCCUUGUUCACUGUUGCCAGCACGUUAUGGUGGGGACUCAGUGGAGACCGCCGGGGUCAACUCGGAGGAAGGUGGGGAUGACGUCAAGUCCUCAUGCCCCUUAUGCCCAGGGCUUCACGCAUGCUGCAAUGGCUGGUACAGAGAGUGGCGAGCCUGUGAGGGUGAGCGAAUCUCGGAAAGCCGGUCUCAGUUCGGAUUGGGGUCUGCAACUCGACCUCAUGAAGUCGGAGUCGCUAGUCCUCGAAGAUCAGCAACGCUGCGGUGAAUACGUUCCCGGGGC
rnacentral:rRNA from 1 species